rnacentral:rRNA from 1 species
UUGGGAAUCUUGCACAAUGGGGGAAACCCUGAUGCAGCGACGCCGCGUGGACGAUGAAGGCCUUAGGGUUGUAAAGUCCUUUUUUGGGGAAAGACUUAGGACGGUACCCCAAGAAUAAGCUCCGGCUAACUACGUGCCAGCAGCCGCGGUAAGACGUAGGGAGCAAGCGUUGUCCGGAUUUACUGGGCGUAAAGAGCGCGUAGGCGGCUCGUUAAGUGUGAAGUGAAAUCUCCAGUGCUCAACACGGAAACUGCUUUACAUACUGGCGAGCUUGAGGAAAGCAGAGAUAACUGGAAUUCCUGGUGUAGCGGUGAAAUGCGUUGAUAUCAGGAGGAACACCCAUGGCGAAGGCAGGUUAUUGGGCUUUAUCUGACGCUGAGGCGCGAAAGCGUGGGUAGCAAACAGG